rnacentral:rRNA from 1 species
CCUACGGGUGGCAGCAGUAGGGAAUUUUGCGCAAUGGGCGAAAGCCUGACGCAGCAACACCGCGUGAAUGUUAAGCCCUUCGGGGUGUAAAGUUCUGUCAAUAGGGACGAAUUUUGACUGUACCUAUAAAGGAAGCACCGGCUAACUCCGUGCCAGCAGCCGCGGUAAUACGGGGGGUGCAAGCGUUGUCCGGAAUCAUUGGGCGUAAAGCGUUCGUAGGCGGCAAGGUAAGUCUGAUGUUAAAGCCCGGGGCUCAACUCCGGUUCGGCAUUGGAUACUAUCUAGCUAGAAUGUGGUAGAGGUAAAGGGAAUUCCUGGUGUAGCGGUGAAAUGCGUAGAUAUCAGGAGGAACAUCGGUGGCGAAAGCGCUUUACUGGACCAUUAUUGACGCUGAGGAACGAAAGCCAGGGGAGCAAAUGGGAUUAGAUACCCCAGUAGUC